rnacentral:rRNA from 1 species
CGGACGGGUGAGUAACGCGUGAGAAUCUGCCUUCAGGUCGGGGACAACCACUGGAAACGGUGGCUAAUACCCGAUGUGCGCAACGUGAAAGAUUUAUCGCCUGAAGAGGAGCUCGCGUCUGAUUAGCUAGUUGGUGGGGUAAAAGCUCACCAAGGCGACGAUCAGUAGCUGGUCUGAGAGGAUGAUCAGCCACACUGGGACUGAGACACGGCCUAGACUCCUACGGGAGGCAGCAGUGGGGAAUUUUCCGCAAUGGGCGAAAGCCUGACGGAGCAAGACCGCGUGAGGGAGGAAGGCUCUUGGGUUGUAAACCUCUUUUCUCAGGGAAGAACAAAAUGACGGUACCUGAGGAAUCAGCCUCGGCUAACUCCGUGCCAGCAGCCGCGGUAAUACGGAGGAGGCAAGCGUUAUCCGGAAUUAUUGGGCGUAAAGCGUCCGCAGGUGGCACUUCAAGUCUGUCGUCAAAGACUGGGGCUUAACCCUGGAAAGGCGGUGGAAACUGAAGCGCUAGAGUGUGGUAGGGGUAGAGGGAAUUCCCGGUGUAGCGGUGAAAUGCGUAGAGAUCGGGAAGAACAUCGGUGGCGAAAGCGCUCUACUGGACCACAACUGACACUCAGGGACGAAAGCUAGGGGAGCGAAUGGGAUUAGAUACCCCAGUAGUC